UAAUAACUUACCCACUUAUAUUGGGCCCAGACAAGCAGUCCCACUGCUAUUUGGCACAACGUGAGUUGGUUUGGAAUCAACUUCCUUUCAUUCAAAAUCACAAACCCUUAAAAAAAACGGAAAUGAUGAAUAGUUAUCAAGGAUUUCAUUCAUUAAUCAGAAACUCCCUACAGUCAUUCUUAAAUACUAUUUUUUCAGGUAAAAAAUGAUCACACGCCUUUGAUAUAAUGUUUGGGUGGAAAUUUGACACGCCUAGGUGGAAUCUAUUGGUCCUUUUCUACCAAUUACAAUUAAAGCCAUGGCUCGGUAAUACCAUCUGGUCAGUUACAUAUAUAAUCUAUGUUCCGGAUUAGCUCCCCAAUCCAACCCGAGCCAACCCACUAGUCCAGUGACCUCUUAUCGACUUACAGUAGGUUAGAAAAGGACACACACGAUAUUGUGUCAAGACUCGCCAUUGCCAUCUCAUGGUUUUAUUAGGGUUCUAUAAAUGAUAUAAACAUAGGUGCUAUCGGU